CCUGGUACUGCCACAAAGGGAGCCAUUGGGGGGCCCAUAGGGACCCAGAGAGAUUCAGGUACUGCCACAAAGGGAGCCAUUGGGAACCUCAUAGGGACCCAGAGAGAUUCAGGUACUGCCACAAAGGGAGCCGUGGGGAGCCCCAUAGGGAACCAGACAGAUUCAGGUACUGCCACAAAGGGAGCCAUUGGGAGGCCCAUAGGGAGCCAGAUCCAUCCUGGUACUGCCACAAAGGGAGCCAUUGGGGGGCCCAUAGGGACCCAGAGAGAUUCAGGUACUGCCACAAAGGGAGCCAAUGUGGGGCCCAUAGGGAGCCAGAGCCAUCCUGGUACUGCCACAAAGGGAGCGAUUGGGGGGCCCAUAGGGACCCAGAGAGAUUCAGGUACUGCCACAAAGGGAGCCAUAGGGAACCUCAUAGGGACCCAGAGAGAUUCAGGUACUGCCACAAAGGGAGCCGUGGGGAGCCCCAUAGGGAGCCAGAGCCAUCCUGGUACUGCCACAAAGGGAGCCGUGGGGAGCCCCAUAGGGAGCCAGAGAGAUUCAGGUACUGCCACAAAGGGAGCUAUGGGGAGUCCCAUAGGGAGUCAUAUAGACCCCAGGUACUGCCACAAAGGGAGCUGUGGUGAGUCAUAUAGGGAGCCAUACAGACAUGAGGUACUGCCACAAAGGGAGCCGUUGGGAACCUCAUAGGGACCCAGAGAGAUUCAGGUACUGCCACAAAGGGAGCCACUGGGAAUCCCUUAGGGAGCCAGAGCCAUCCUGGUAUUGCCACAAAGUGAUCCGUUUGGAAACCCCAUAGGGAGCCAUACAGAUCCAGGUAUUGCCACAAAGUGAACCAGCAAGAAUCCUAUAGGGAUCCAUACCAUUCCCCGGCACUGCCAGAUAGCGAGCGUGUGACCCCAUACCCCUUAUAGUACCACGUGACCCCAUUCCCCCAUAGGGCCAUCUGACCCCAUACCCCCACAGGGCUGUGUGACCCCAUACCACCCAUAGCCGUUAUAGGGCUGUCUGACCCUAUUGCCCCCAUAGGGCUGUCUGACCCCAUUGCCCUCAUAGGGCUGUGUGACCCCAUUGCACCCAUAGGGCUGUAUGACCCCAUACCCGUUAUAGUACCACAUGACCCCAUACCCCCUAUAGGGCUGUCUGUCCCCGUACCUCUUAUAGGGCUGUGUGACCCCAUUCCCCCAUAGGGCUGUGUGACCCCAUACCUGCUAUAGUACCACAUGACCCCAUUCCCACAUAGGGCUGUGUGACCCCAUACCCCCAUAGGGCUGUGUGACCCCAUACCCGUUAUAGUACCACGUGACCCCAUUCCCCCCAUAGGGCUGUCUGACCCCAUUCCCCCCAUAGGGCUGUCUGACCCCAUACCCCUAUAGUACCACGUGACCCCAUUCCCCCCCCAUAGGGCUGUGUGACCCCAUACCCCUUAUAGUACCACGUGACCCCAUAACCCUAUAGGGCUGUAUGACCCCAUACCACCCAUACCCAUUAUAGGGCUGUCUGACCCCAUACCCCCAUAGGGCUGUAUGACCCCAUACCCGUUAUAGUACCACGUGACCCCAUACCCCCAUAGGGCUGUAUGACCCCAUUCCCCCCAUAGGGCUGUAUGACCCCAUACCCGUUAUAGUACCACAUGACCCCAUUCCCCCCAUAGGGCUGUCUGACCCCAUACCCCUAUAGUACCACGUGACCCCAUUCCCCCCCCCAUAGGGCUGUGUGACCCCAUUCCCCCAUAGGGCUGUGUGACCCCAUACCCCUAUAGUACCCACGUGACCCCAUUCCCCCAUAGGGCUGUAUGACCCCAUACCCGUUAUAGUACCACGUGACCCCAUACCCCCAUAGGGCUGUAUGACCCCAUACCCCUUAUAGUACCACGUGACCCCACACCCGUUAUAGUACCACGUGACCCCAUUCUCCCCCCCC
rnacentral:lncRNA from 1 species